rnacentral:rRNA from 1 species
CCUACGGGUGGCAGCAGUAGGGAAUUUUGCGCAAUGGGCGAAAGCCUGACGCAGCAACGCCGCGUGAUCGAGACGCCCUUCAGGGUGUAAAGAUCUGUCAGUGGGGGCGAAACUUGACGGUACCCACAGAGGAAGCACCGGCUAACUCCGGGCCAGCAGCCGCGGUAAGACGGGGGGUGAACGCGUUGUCCGGAAUCAUUGGGCGUAAAGAGUUCGUAGGCGGGACGUAAAGUAUGGUGGUAAAGGCAGAGGGUCAACUUCCGUACGGCACGUGAUACUUGCGAGCUAGAAUGCGGUAGAGGUAAAGGGAAUUCCUGGUGUAGCGGUGAAAUGCUUAGAUAUCAGGAGGAACAUCGGUGGCGUAAGCGCUUUACUGGGCCGUAAUUGACGCUGAGGAACGAAAGCCAGGGUAGCAAAUGGGAUUAGAUACCCCGGUAGUC